UGCUUAUGAUAGCCAUUUACCAAUUCUGCAGCCAGUAGAGUAUUCUCAACCAAUAAACGUCCUUUGAUAAAUGCAGUUUGAUUUUUUUGGACCAGGUCAGGAAGAAUAGGCUUCAAACGGGAUACAAGUAUCUUGGAUAUAACUUUAUACAGCGUGUUAAGACAGGAAAUGGGCCUGAAAUCUGAAACAAGAGAGGCACCCGGUAGCUUAGGGAUGAGCGCAAGAGUAGUGGCAUUAGUGGCUUUGGGAAGAAAAGCUGAGUGGAAGAAUUGAAGAAUACUCGAAAUGGUUUCUUGGCCAAUGAUCCCCCAAGCGGACUUGUAGAAAGCAGAAGUAAACCCGUCAGGCGAGCACCUAUAACUGAUCAAGUCUUGGAACCAAGUAAGCGAGGUAACCAGAGGAUGCAAGACUGCUGGACUCAAAAUGUACUGGAAGUGACUAACAGCCAUCAUUCCCAUUUCCUGCGGAUCAUCAACAACAGUGCCUGCUUUAGUAGAGAAAGACCUGAUUGCAUUGAAUGCAUUCCUAAUACAUGUCAUCCGAUGGAAGUCCCAUUUGGAGUGCAAAUCUUGCUCCUGCUGGAAAAGAGUUGUAGUUGGAUUCGCCAAGGCUUGUACCUGCACAACUUGAAGCAAACGGGUUGACAAACAUGUUUCCAGGGGACAUAAAUUUCCAGCCAAAAUCCAAGCAGUUUCGAUCGUUUCUAGGAAGCGAGGGUGGGAGGUGAGGAAAUUGAAGAAUUUAAAAGGCUUUGUGCCAGCUUGCGGAAGCGCUGUAUCAAGGUCUAUAAGACAAGGGGAGUGGUCAGAAAGUUCAGGGGACAAGAAGAAGGCUACGCUGUUCGGGUACGAGGCAGUCUCGCAGCUCAAUCAUUCUAGUUGUCAAGUGGUUAACCAUAGGACUAGAGUGCUCGCCAGGCUGAGUUAUUUGGUUGAGAUCCCCACACACCAUCCAAGGAACAA